rnacentral:rRNA from 1 species
GUGCCAGCCGCCGCGGUAAUACCGGCAGCCCGAGUGAUGGCCGAUCUUAUUGGGCCUAAAGCGUCCGUAGCUGGCCGACCAAGUCUCCCGGGAAAUCCACCCGCCCAACGGGUGGGCGUCCGGUAGAAACUGGCCGGCUUGGAACCGGAAGGCUCAGAGAGUACGUCCGGGGUAGGAGUGAAAUCCCGUAAUCCCGGACGGACUACCGAUGGCGAAAGCGCCUCGGAAGGACGGACCCGACGGUGAGGGACGAAAGCUGGGGUCUCGAACCGGAUUAGAAACCCUUGUAGUC